rnacentral:rRNA from 1 species
UGGGGAAUUUUGCACAAUGGGGGAAACCCUGAUGCAGCGACGCCGCGUGAUUUAGAAGGCCUUCGGGUUGUAAAAAUCUUUUCUAUGGGAAGAAAAUGACAGUACCAUAGGAAUAAGGACCGGCCAAUUACGUGCCAGCAGCCGCGGUAAUACGUAAGGUCCGAGCGUUGUCCGGAAUCAUUGGGCGUAAAGGGUACGUAGGCGGGUAAGCAAGUUAGAAGUGAAAUCCUAUAGCUCAACUAUAGUAAGCUUUUAAAACUGCUCAUCUUGAGGUAUGGAAGGGAAAGUGGAAUUCCUAGUGUAGCGGUGAAAUGCGCAGAUAUUAGGAGGAAUACCGGUGGCGAAGGCGACUUUCUGGCCAUAACCUGACGCUGAGGUACGAAAGCGUGGGUAGCAAACAGG